rnacentral:lncRNA from 1 species
CUUCAGCUGAUCCCAGGUCUCCUGCACAAAAAGCUCAGCAGGUUGGCAGAAUCGAUCAUGCUAAGGCAGAAAUAGCUUUGUGCUGGAGCCAAGGUCCUUUCAAGUAAUGCCUUGGAAUGCCACAGAGCUCUUGGAAACCAGAAGGGUGGCACACGGCUGCCAGAGUGUGUCUUGUGUGGACUAGGAGAAGUCAGCUGAAAUGGCAGGCUGGCUCACACUGAGCUCUUAGCCGCUGUCGCAGUAAGGGAUGGAAGCAGAAGGUGGAAAGCUGGAGAAGCUCCGAUCUCUCACUGGAGAGAGGGGAG